rnacentral:rRNA from 1 species
ACGGGAGGCAGCAGUGAGGAAUAUUGGUCAAUGGACGGAAGUCUGAACCAGCCAAGUCGCGUGCGGGAGGAAGGCCCUACGGGUCGUAAACCGCUUUUGUACGGGGAUAAAGUCACCCACGUGUGGGUGUUUGUAGGUACCGUAAGAAUAAGGAUCGGCUAACUCCGUGCCAGCAGCCGCGGUAAUACGGAGGAUCCGAGCGUUAUCCGGAUUUAUUGGGUUUAAAGGGUGCGUAGGCGGGAUGUUAAGUCAGCGGUGAAAGUUUGCGGCUCAACCGUAAAAUUGCCGUUGAAACUGGCGUUCUUGAGUGUAAACGAGGUAGGCGGAAUCUGCCAUGUAGCGGUGAAAUGCUUAGAUAUGUCACAGAACCCCGAUUGCGAAGGCAGCUUACCAGCAUACAACUGACGCUGAGGCACGAAAGCGUGGGUAUCAAACAGGAUUAGAUACCCUGGUA